GAGUUUGAUCAUGGCUCAGAACGAACGCUGGCGGCGUACUUAACACAUGCAAGUCGAACGAGAAAGGGGGCUUCGGUCCCUGAGUACAGUGGCGAACGGGUGCGUAACACGUAAGUAAUCUACCCUAGACUCUGGGAUAACUUCUCGAAAGGGGAGCUAAUACCGGAUAGAUCCCAUCCCUAUAAGGGGAGGGGGGAAAGCGGGCCUCUCGAAGAAGCUUGUGGUUUAGGAUGAGCUUGCGGCCCAUUAGCUAGUUGGUGGGGUAAUGGCCUACCAAGGCUGCGAUGGGUAGCUGGUCUGAGAGGAUGAUCAGCCACACUGGCACUGAGACACGGGCCAGACUCCUACGGGAGGCAGCAGUGGGGAAUUUUGCGCAAUGGGCGAAAGCCUGACACAGUAACGCCGCGUGGAGGAUGAAGGCCCUCGGGUUGUAAACUCC
rnacentral:rRNA from 1 species